rnacentral:lncRNA from 1 species
UGUCACUUUCAGGAAGUGAUUCAGUGCAGAUCAGAAGCUCCAGAGCAGCUGCAGUGUGUUUGUUGCUGCUGUAUUAAAGGCUCCUGUAAGAGGGACUCUUAUUAUGAAACCGGAAUUGUUAUAGUACGACGUUAGGGGGCAGUGUAGUUUGAUGAGCUGCCGCUGUUUGGUGUGUUCGUAUGAUCUGUCCAAGCCAUCAGCUGGCAAGGAUGAUGCUUCCAGUUUAUUUGUGGAGAUUGUUGCAGAUUUAAUAUCAGGGUGUUAGUCACUGACCACAAAGUAAGCCUAUUUUAUUUAUAUUUGUGUUAGCAGAGAUCGCUAUAGUGUUAUAUGCUUUUUUUCCAUAUAAACAUGCCUAGACAUGUUCGGUAACGAUGGUUCUUUAGUGUUUUCCGAUCGGGAAUAUUAUUUAAUGUGUGAUUAUUCUUUAUAAAGAUGUAAAUCAGUGUUAUGAUGUCUUAACAACGUGAUGUUGUUCUGUUAAUCUGCUACAAGACCAAACAAGUGAUUAGCGUUCUGUUUAUGUAAAUGUUAUUCAUAUGCACCAUGAUUCUAUCCAUAUAUGGGAGGUUUAUGUUCAUAGGGACAAAUGAUCACUCAUGACUUAUAGUUUUCUGUGAAAUAUCUGGUUUCCCUUCAUUUAACUGUGUUUUCAGUAGAGAAAUGCCAAUUAUGUGAAUAUUAUGAAUGCUUCGGUUUCAUUAUGUAACAGUAAAUGUUACUAUUGUUUAUAUAUAUAUCCUUAGUUUAUUCAUUUCUUUAUUGUAUUUAUUUUUUGCAGACUAUCUACGCCUUUGAUUGUACAUCUGUGGGCCUUCCUUUUCUCUACUAAUACAACAUUGAAAGCUAAUCACCUGCCUCCUCAUUAUUGGUGCUCUGACCGGCACCCAGGGGGGUUUACUCAUCCAUUACCUGAUCAGAACCUAACAGUCCUAAAGUCUCUCCAACAAAUUUGGUCCUUCGAGCCG